UACGUAGGGGGCAAGCGUUGUCCGGAUUUAUUGGGCGUAAAGAGCGUGUAGGCGGCCAGAUAGGUCCGUUGUGAAAACUCGAGGCUCAACCUCGAGACGCCGAUGGAAACCAUCUGGCUAGAGUCCGGAAGAGGAGAGUGGAAUUCCUGGUGUAGCGGUGAAAUGCGCAGAUAUCAGGAGGAACACCGGUGGCGAAGGCGGGUCUCUGGGCCGAUACUGACGCUGAGGAGCGAAAGCGUGGGGAGCAAACAGG
rnacentral:rRNA from 1 species